AGCUCCAAUAGCGUAUAUUAAAGUUGUUGCAGUUAAAAAGCUCGUAGUCGUAUUUGAACGUGUGCCGGAUUUCGCGGUCUGCACUCAAAAGAGUGUGAUGACCCGGGCGGCUUCGUUGCUCAGCUAUUGAGUCGUGCCUGGUCUUGAUUGACUCGGGCGCGGAACUUCUCUCGAUAGCUCUUUUACUGUGAGAAAAGUAGAGUGUUCAAGGCAGGCGUUGUUUGCAUUUGAAUAUGUUAGCAUGGAAUAAUAAGAUAGGACUUUCGAAUUCUAUUUUGUUGGUUUCUAGUUUGGAAGUAAUGAUUGAUAGGGAUAGUUGGGGGUGCUAGUAUUGAGUGGCCAGAGGUGAAAUUCAUGGAUUCACUCAAGACUAACUAAUGCGAAAGCAUUCACCAAGGAUGUCCUCU
rnacentral:rRNA from 1 species